GACGAACGCUGGCGGCGUGCUUAACACAUGCAAGUCGAACGAUGAAGAAGAGAAACGCGAACUUCGGUUCAAAUUUCACUUCGGAUUAGUGGCAGACGGGUGAGUAACGCGUGAGCAACCUACCUCUUACAAAGGGAUAGCCUCGGGAAACCGUGAUUAAUACCAUAUGACACAUUCAUAAGGCAUCUUAAGAAUGUUAAAGCUACGGCGGUAAGAGAUGGGCUCGCGUCCCAUUAGCUAGUUGGUGAGGUAACGGCCCACCAAGGCGACGAUGGGUAACCGGCCUGAGAGGGUGAACGGUCACAUUGGAACUGAGACACGGUCCAAACUCCUACGGGAGGCAGCAGUGGGGAAUAUUGCACAAUGGAGGGAACUCUGAUGCAGCGACGCCGCGUGAGCGAUGAAGGAAUUCGUUCCGUAAAGCUCUGUUCUAUGGGAAGAAAAGGACUGUACCAUAGGAGAAAGCCCCGGCUAAAUACGUG
rnacentral:rRNA from 1 species